UACAGAGGGUGCAAGCGUUAAUCGGAAUUACUGGGCGUAAAGCGUGCGUAGACGGUUACAUAAGUCGGGUGUGAAAGCCCCGGGCUCAACCUGGGAAUUGCAUUCGAGACUGCGUAGCUAGGGUGCGGAAGAGGGAAGCGGAAUUUCCGGUGUAGAGGUGAAAUUCGUAGAUAUUGGGAAGAACACCGAUGGCGGAGGCAGCCAUCUGGACCGACACUGACGCUGAGGCGCGAAAGCGUGGGGAGCAAACAGG
rnacentral:rRNA from 1 species